UUACAUGUCACCAGCAAGCAAGACAAUGUAUAAAAGAGGAGUCCCCUCCUCAGAAAGCUUAGACCUUAUUCAGUAAUACAAAAUCCUUGUAAAACCCUAUUCUAUUGGAUCUCAGAUCAUCAAUUGGCGCCGUCUGUGGGAAACGAAGGAGAUCUUUUCAUCACCGGAGUUUUCACUUUCAAAACCCACUGAGAUCCACGAUGGCAAACCACCAAGAAAGUAACCCUAAUAUUCCAAAUGACCUGAGCUCUGCCCAAGAGGGGCAGCAGUUCUCCUUUUCUAGCCCUACAACGUUGAAUAACCAAACACCUAUUUCUCUUAAUCCCUCGCCAAGCUUGGCAGGGAAUACUCCCACCAUGACCCUGUCUAACCAAGACAUUCAAACCAUGGCUCUCCAGCUACAAACCACUGCUCACUGGUUGGGGCAGAUAAUGCAACAAAGGGGACUUAGCACCCCGGUAAACGCACUCCCAGUAGUGGAGGAACCCAGAACCGAUGAACCCC
rnacentral:lncRNA from 1 species